GGCUGUGGCUGUGUGCGGU
rnacentral:misc_RNA from 1 species